rnacentral:rRNA from 1 species
GAUGAACGCUGGCGGCGUGCCUAAUACAUGCAAGUCGAGCGAAUGGAUUAAGAGCUUGCUCUUAUGAAGUUAGCGGCGGACGGGUGAGUAACACGUGGGUAACCUGCCCAUAAGACUGGGAUAACUCCGGGAAACAGGGGCUAAUACCGGAUAACAUUUUGAACCGCAUGGUUCGAAAUUGAAAGGCGGCUUCGGCUGUCACUUAUGGAUGGACCCGCGUCGCAUUGGCUAGUUGGUGAGGUAACGGCUCACCAAGGCAACGAUGCGUAGCCGACCUGAGAGGGUGAUCGGCCACACUGGGACUGAUGCACGGCCCAGACUCCUACGGGAGGCAGCAGUAGGGAAUCUUCCGCAAUGGACGAAAGUCUGACGGAGCAACGCCGCGUGAGUGGUGAAGGCUUUCGGGUCGUAAAACUCUGUUGUUAGGGAAGAACAAGUGCUAGUUGAAUAAGCUGGCACCUUGACGGUACCUAACCAGAAAGCCACGGCUAACUACGUGCCAGCCGCCGCAGUAA